CAAAGUACAGCUAAAAGGUUAGUAUUUCAUUUACAUUGAAGAGAGUUAUCGUGCGAAUCGAUUUACUUUGAA
rnacentral:tRNA from 1 species